rnacentral:rRNA from 1 species
CCCUUAGAUGUCCUGGGCCGCACGCGUGCUACACUGACACUUACACCGAGUUUUUCCAAUGCCGAAAGGCCAUUGGUAAUCAGCAAAAAGUGUCGUGAUGGGGAUAGAUCUUUGGAAUUAUUGAUCUUGAACGAGGAAUGCCUAGUAAUCGUAGGUCAUCAGCCUGCGAUGAUUACGUCCCUGCCCUUUGUACACACCGCCCGUCGCUCCUACCGAUUUCGAGUGGUUCGGUGAACCUUUCGGACCGGCAAUGCCUCGUGUUGCGCCGGAAAGUCAAGUAAACCAUAUCACUUAGAGGAAGGAGAANUCGUANCA